rnacentral:rRNA from 1 species
UGAAUACGAGAUGCUACGGCGUCGAAGCAGUCUAUGUCAUACUUCCAAGAAAAGCUUGCACUGUCAUAAACAAAUAAUGCCUGUACCAUAACCGACACAGGUGGGUAGGUAGAGUAUACUAAGGGGCGCAAGAUAACUCUCUCUAAGGAACUCGGCAAAAUGACUCCGUAACUUCGGGAGAAGGAGUGCCUUAUUUAUAAGGUUGCAAUAACAAGAUCCAAGCAACUGUUUACCAAAAACACAGGUCUCCGCUAAGUCGUAAGACGAUGUAUGGGGGCUGACGCCUGCCCAGUGCCAGAAGGUUAAAGAAGUUGGUUAGCAUCCGCGAAGCUGAUAACUGAAGCCCUGGUGAACGGCGGCCGUAACUAUAACGGUCCUAAGGUAGCGAAAUUCCUUGUCGGGUAAGUUCCGACCCGCACGAAAGGCGUAAUGAUUUGGAUACUGUCUCGGAGAGGGGCUCGGUGAAAUAGACUUGUCUGUGAAGAUGCGGACUACCUGCACCAGGACAGAAAGACCCUAUGAAGCUUUACUGUAACCUGAAAUUGAAAUUGGACUUUACUUGCGCAGUAUAGGUGGGAGGCGUUGAGAAUAUUCUUGCGGGAUUAUUGGAGCCAUCAGUGAGAUACCACUCUUGUAAUGUUAGAUUUCUAACUUUGUAUCAUUAUCUGGUCAAAGAACAGUUUCAGGCGGGCAGUUUGACUGGGGCGGUCGCCUCCUAAACGGUAACGGAGGCGCACAAAGGUUUCCUCUGAACGGGUAGAAAUCGUAUCUAGAGUGUAAAGGCAUAAGGAAGCUUGACUGUGAGACCUACAAGUCGAGCAGGGACGAAAGUCGGUCUUAGUGAUCUGACGGUGCUGAGUGGAAAGGCCGUCACUCAACGGAUAAAAGUUACUCUAGGGAUAACAGGCUGAUCUCCCCCAAGAGUUCACAUCGACGGGGAGGUUUGGCACCUCGAUGUCGGCUCAUCGCAUCCUGGGGCGGUAGUACGUCCCAAGGGUUGGGCUGUUCGCCCAUGAAAGCGGUACGCGAGCUGGGCUCAGAACGUCGUGAGACAGUUCGGUCCAUAUCCGGUGUAGGCGUUAGAAUAUUGAGAGGAGCCUUCUUUAGUACGAGAGGACCGAGAAGGACAUACCUCUGGUGUACCAGUUAUCGUGCCAACGGUAAACGCUGGGUAGCUAUGUGUGGAGUGGAUAACCGCUGAAAGCAUCUAAGUGGGAAGCCCACCUCAAGAUAAG